GCAAGCUUUUAAGGGCACAUGGUGGAUGCCUUGGCAUCAAGAGCCGAUGAAGGACGUUGGAGCCUGCGAUAAGCCCUGGGGAGUUGGCAACCGAGCUGUGAUCCGGGGGUGUCCGAAUGGGGAAACCCGGCUGGAGUCAUGUCCAGUCACCUGCGCCUGAAUGAAAUAGGGUGUGUGGAGGGAACGUGGGGAAGUGAAACAUCUCAGUACCCAUAGGAAGAGAAAACAAUAGUGAUUCCGAGAGUAGUGGCGAGCGAAAUCGGAGGAGGCUAAACCUUGAGCGUGUGAUACCCGGCAGGGGUUGCGUUCGGGGGGUUGUGGGAGCAUUCGUGUUCAUCUGCCGGUGGACGAGACAGUAAGAAAGUGCGUGUGAAGUUGAAGUCCGUUGGAAAGCGGCGCCGUAGAGGGUGAUAGCCCCGUAGGUGUAAGUGCGUGCCUGUUGAGUGUUUUCCCAAGUAACACGGAACCCCUGAAAUUCCGUGUGAAUCUGGCGGGACCACCCGUUAAGCCUAAAUACUUCUUGAUGACCGAUAGCGGACUAGUACCGUGAGGGAAAGGUGAAAAGUACCCCUGGCGGGGAGUGAAAUAGUACCUGAAACCGUGUGCCUACAAUCCGUCAGAGCCCGGCUGCCCUGUGGGUGUUGGGGUGAUGGCGUGCCUUUUGAAGAAUGAGCCUGCGAGUUUGCGUUGUGUUGCGAGGUUAACCCGUGUGGGGAAGCCGUAGCGAAAGCGAGUCCUAAUAGGGCGUUUGAGUAGCGCGAUCAAGACCCGAAGCGAAGUGAUCUAUCCAUGGGCAGGUUGAAGCGCGGGUAAGACCGCGUGGAGGACCGAACCCACUUAGGUUGAAAACUGAGGGGAUGACCUGUGGAUAGGGGUGAAAGGCCAAUCAAACUUCGUGAUAGCUGGUUCUCCCCGAAAUGCAUUUAGGUGCAGCGUUGUGUGUUUCUUGCCGGAGGUAGAGCACUGGAUAGCCGAUGGGCCCGACCAGGUUACUGACGUUAGCCAAACUCCGAAUGCCGGUAAGUGAGAGCGCAGCAGUGAGACAGUGGGGGAUAAGCUCCAUUGUCGAGAGGGAAACAGCCCAGACCAUCAGCUAAGGCCCCUAAGCGGUGACUAAGUGGAAAAGGAUGUGGAGUCGCAGUGACAACCAGGAGGUUGGCUUGGAAGCAGCCACCCUUGAAAGAGUGCGUAAUAGCUCACUGGUCAAGUGAUUCCGCGCCGACAAUGUAGCGGGGCUCAAGUCAUCCGCCGAAGCUAUGGCAUUCACAUCCUCUUUGGUGAGGAGCCUUAACGGGUGUGUGGAUGGGUAGGGGAGCGUCGUGUCGCGGGUGAAGCUCCGGAGUGAUCCAGGGGUGGAUGCGACACGAGUGAGAAUGCAGGCAUGAGUAGCGAAUCACGGGUGAGAAACCCGUGCGCCGAAUGAUCAAGGGUUCCAGGGUCAAGCUAAUCUGCCCUGGGUAAGUCGGGACCUAAGGCGAGGCCGACAGGCGUAGUCGAUGGACAACGGGUUGAUAUUCCCGUACCGGCAAAGUAGCGCCCAUGACGAGCCCGGUGAUGCUAACCAUCCGAAGCCGCCGUGACUGAUCCCUUCGGGGUGAGGCGUGGUGGUGGAGCGUGGGAUCCGAUCCGGUAGUAGUCAAGCGAUGGGGUGACGCAGGAAGGUAGCCCAACCACGGCGAUGGUUGUCCGUGGGUAAGCAGGUAGGGUGUUGGUUAGGUAAAUCCGGCCGGCUGUCUUUGAUGACGAGCCUGAGAUGUGAUGCGGACCCCGUAUGGGGGAAGUGGGUGAUCCUAUGCUGUCGAGAAAAACCUCUAGCGAGCUAUGCGCCGCCCGUACCCCAAACCGACUCAGGUGAUCAGGUAGAGAAUACUAAGGCGAUCGAGUGAACCAUGGUUAAGGAACUCGGCAAAAUGCCCCCGUAACUUCGGGAGAAGGGGGGCCCGAACCGUCAUGGCCUUUACGGCCGGUAGCGGGGAGGGCCGCAGAGACCAGGCCCAAGCGACUGUUUACUAAAAACACAGGUCCGUGCGAAGUUGUAAGACGAUGUAUACGGACUGACUCCUGCCCGGUGCUGGAAGGUUAAGAGGACCUGUUAGACCACUUUGGUGGUUGAAGCGGAGAAUUUAAGCCCCAGUAAACGGCGGUGGUAACUAUAACCAUCCUAAGGUAGCGAAAUUCCUUGUCGGGUAAGUUCCGACCUGCACGAAUGGAGUAACGACUUGGGCGCUGUCUCAACCAUGGACUCGGCGAAAUUGCACUACGAGUAAAGAUGCUCGUUACGCGCGGCAGGACGGAAAGACCCCGGGACCUUUACUAUAGUUUGGUAUUGGUGUUUGGUUCGGCUUGUGUAGGAUAGGUGGGAGACUGUGAAACCUUCACGCCAGUGGGGGUGGAGUCAACGUUGAAAUACCACUCUGGUCGUACUAGAUGUCUAACUUAGGUCCAUGAUCUGGAUCAGGGCUGUCUCUUAUACACAUCUGACGCUGCCGACGAUCUACUCUGUGUAG
rnacentral:rRNA from 1 species